UUUAUAAAAAGUGGAACUUAACUUCUGUCCAUCCUAUGGCUAACUGCUCAUCACUUGAGUAUCACACAGUAAAGGUCUCUACACCCAUCACUGCAUACAUUCUGGUCAU